rnacentral:rRNA from 1 species
CCUACGGGAGGCAGCAGUAAGGAAUAUUGGUCAAUGGACGCAAGUCUGAACCAGCCAUGCCGCGUGAAGGAUUAAGGCCCUCUGGGUUGUAAACUUCUUUUAUAGGGGACGAAAAAAGGGCAUUCUUGCUCACUUGACGGUACCCUAGGAAUAAGCACCGGCUAACUCCGUGCCAGCAGCCGCGGUAAUACGGAGGGUGCAAGCGUUAUCCGGAUUUACUGGGUUUAAAGGGUGCGUAGGUGGGUUGGUAAGUCAGUGGUGAAAUCUUCGAGCUUAACUCGGAAACUGCCAUUGAUACUAUCAAUCUUGAAUCAUCUAGAGGUAAGCGGAAUAUGUCAUGUAGCGGUGAAAUGCUUAGAUAUGACAUAGAACACCAAUUGCGAAGGCAGCUUACUAUGGAUGUAUUGACACUGAGGCACGAAAGCGUGGGGAUCAAACAGGAUUAGAUACCCUGGUAGUCCACGCCCUAAACGAUGGAUACUCGACAUUUGUGAUAUACUAUAAGUGUCUGAGCGAAAGNAUAUAUCCACCNGGAGACGACGACGAGUAGAACGUACGAAAGAAGUAGAGCGUGAGACGUAGACCGAACGGACGACGACGAGGGAGGAGG